ACUGAAUGGUUAAUAUUAUUGCGUUUUAUGAGCGAUGGCACCAGCUGAAAGUUGUAGUCGAAAACAAGGGUAAUAUCUUCCACACCAGUUAGUCAUGAGCUCACCAAGCAGAGGAGAGUGGUUGAAGCCCAAGGAUGCAUUCCAAAAACUAAAGGCCAAGAAAAAGGCCCUAAAGGCCAGAAUAAAUCAAAGCAUUAGAAAGGAAGCCCUCGCAUCCAGCCAGAUAUCUUCUAGUUUAAAUAGCUGUAAGCAAAAGCGCACAAACCCUUUCAGCUGCGGAGGAGACGACGGUGGCGACGCCAAGCGGGCGCGGCUGGAGGCCAGCCCGCCCGAACCCUCCCUCGAUCAGACGCUGUUCGAGAUCCUGCGCUCGGGCGCCGGUGACUUGC